CUCACUCGAACCGAGGGUCUAAGGACAGAGGGUGACACUCCCUGUACAGAUUGUAAAGCCCUCUGAGGCAAAUGUACUUUGUUAUUUUGGGCUAUACAAAUAAAAUCUGAUUUGAUUUGAUUUGAUUUAAGCUGUGGUUUUAUAAAAUAGUUUGUUAGUAGCUGUAAGUUUUGUUGGGAUCAAUAAAAACCAUGACAAUUAGAUUUUGACUCAUCAUUUGUGAAUUUGUGCCACAUGUUAUGUGUAUGUGUGUCUAUGUUUCCUCUGUAGAUUAGCAGGGAACAAAAGACGUGCUGAACUUGAAUCAGAAUAAUUACAUUUAAAUAAAAGUGUGAAAACUC